UGAUAUGCCAAUCGAACUCGGAGAUAGCUGGUUCUCCCCGAAAUAGCUUUAGGGCUAGCGUCAUGCGUUUAGUACCGGAGGUACAGCACUGAAUGGGCUAUGGGGCUUACAGCUUACAGAACCCAAUCAAACUCGGAAUGCCGGUACUCCAUAGCAUGGCAGUCGGACUCCGGGAGAUGAGUUUCGGGGUCGAAAGGGAAACAGCCCAGACCAUCGGCUAAGGUCCUCAAAUCUAUGCUAAGUGGGAAACGAGGUGAGGUUACUUAAACAACCAGGAGGUUGGCUUAGAAGCAGCCACCCUUUAAAAAGUGCGUAACAGCUUACUGGUCUAGUGACUUCGCGCGGAAAACUUAACGGGGCUAAGCAUAGUACCGAAGCCAUGGGUCUCAACAUUUGUUGGGGCAGUAGGGGAGCGUUCUGUCAGCGGUGAAGGUCGAUCGUAAGGGCGACUGGAGCGGACAGAAGUGAGAAUGCAGGCAUGAGUAGCGUACAAAUAUGUGAGAACCAUAUUCGCCGUAUAUCUAAGGUUUCCGACGCCAGGUCAUUCCGCGUCGGGUUAGUCGAGUCCUUAGCCGAGGCCGAGAGGCGUAGGUGAUGGACAUCCGGUCAACAUUCCGGAACCGCUAGAAAGUGCGAUGGGAGGACGCAACGAGGUAGGCCAGCCCAUUAUUGGAUUUGGGUGCGAUCCAUCUAGGCGUUGAGAUUGGCAGGUAAAUCCGCCAGUUGAGCUGAGGUGAGAGCGAGCCGUAAGGCAUAAGUGGUUGAGCCUUGUUGCCAAGAAAAGUCUCUAAGCAUAACUUUCUAGUGCUCGUACCGCAAACCGACACUGGUAGAUGGGUAGAGUAUACCAAGGCGAACGGGAGAACUCUCGUUAAGGAAUUAGGCAACAUGACCUCGUAACUUCGGGAGAAGAGGUACCCUCCUUUGUGUUAAAGCUUCGGAGGGUCGCAGUGAAAUGGCUCUGGUGACUGGUUAACAAAACCACAGGUCUCUGCUAAGCCGUAAGGCGAUGUAUAGGGGCUGACGCGUGCCCAGUGCCGGAAGGUUAAAGGGAGAGGUUAGCGCAAGCGAAGCUUUGAACUGAAGCCCCGGUGAACGGCGGCCGUAACUAUAACGGUCCUAAGGUAGCGAAAUUCCUUGUCGGGUAAGUUCCGACCCGCACGAAAGGCGUAACGAUCUGGGCACUGUCUCAACGAGAGACUCGGUGAAAUUAUAGUACCUGUGAAGAUGCAGGUUACCCGCGACAGGACGGAAAGACCCCGUGGAGCUUUACUGUAGCCUGAUAUUGAAUUUUGGCACAACUUGUACAGGAUAGGUAGGAGCCUGAGAUUCCGGAGCGCCAGCUUCGGAGGAGGCGUCAGUGGGAUACUACCCUGGUUGUGUUGAACUUCUAACCCUUGCCCCUUAUCGGGGUAGGAGACAGUGUCAGGCGGGCAGUUUGACUGGGGCGGUCGCCUCCUAAAGUGUAACGGAGGCGCCCAAAGGUUCCCUCAGAAUGGUUGGAAAUCAUUCGUAGAGUGUAAAGGCAGAAGGGAGCUUGACUGCGAGACCUACAAGUCGAGCAGGGUCGA
rnacentral:rRNA from 1 species